rnacentral:lncRNA from 1 species
CGGAUUUACCACCAGCGUCUAUCCAAGGCCGCGCCUGCGCAGAACACCGCAGUGGUUGGGGGCAGAGCUAUUUGACAAAGUUGGGACAAGCUCCAGCUGCGCAGCUAGGCAUUGGUCAGCAGGUUGCUGGAAGCAGGAUUUUUCUAGCCUUCCGGGGUGCCUCGGGUGGAAGCCGGCUAUUUCAAGUAGAAAUGCCCACGAGAUUGAUAGCUCCUUCAACUUCCCAAAUGCCUUGUUCUUUUAACUAGCUCCUGCUGCAAAGAG